CAGUAGCCGCGGUAAUACGAAGGGUGCAAGCGUUAAUCGGAAUUACUGGGCGUAAAGCGCGCGUAGGUGGUUUGGUAAGAUGGAUGUGAAAUCCCCGGGCUAAACCUGGGAACUGCAUCCAUAACUGCCUGACUAGAGUACGGUAGAGGGUGGUGGAAUUUCCUGUGUAGCGGUGAAAUGCGUAGAUAUAGGAAGGAACACCAGUGGCGAAGGCGACCACCUGGACUAAUACUGACACUGAGGUGCGAAAGCGUGGGGAGCAAACAGGAUUAGAUACCCCUGUAGUCCCUGUCUCUUAUAA
rnacentral:rRNA from 1 species